UACGGAGGGUCCGAGCGUUAAUCGGAAUUACUGGGCGUAAAGCGCGCGUAGGCGGCUAUAUAAGUCAGAUGUGAAAUCCCUGGGCUCAACCUAGGAACUGCAUUUGAAACUGUAUGGCUAGAGUAUGGUAGAGGUGAGUGGAAUUUCAGGUGUAGCGGUGAAAUGCGUAGAGAUCGGAAGGAACAUCAGUGGCGAAGGCGACUCACUGGGCCAUUACUGACGCUGAGGUGCGAAAGCGUGGGUAGCAAACAGGAUUAGAAACCCCAGUAGUCC
rnacentral:rRNA from 1 species